rnacentral:rRNA from 1 species
GCCGCGUGUGUGAAGAAGGCCUUCGGGUUGUAAAGCACUUUCAGCGAGGAAGAACGCCUUGGGAUUAAUACUCCCGAGGAAAGACAUCACUCGCAGAAGAAGCACCGGCUAACUCCGUGCCAGCAGCCGCGGUAAUACGGAGGGUGCAAGCGUUAAUCGGAAUUACUGGGCGUAAAGCGCGCGUAGGUGGCUAAGUCAGCCAGGUGUGAAAGCCCCGGGCUCAACCUGGGAACGGCAUCUGGAACUGCUUGGCUAGAGUGCAGGAGAGGAAGGUAGAAUUCCCGGUGUAGCGGUGAAAUGCGUAGAGAUCGGGAGGAAUACCAGUGGCGAAGGCGGCCUUCUGGACUGACACUGACACUGAGGUGCGAAAGCGUGGGUAGCAAACAGGAUUAGAUACCCUGGUAGUCCACGCCGUAAACGAUGUCAACUAGCCGUUGGGUCCCUUGAGGACUUAGUGGCGCAGCUAACGCAAUAAGUUGACCGCCUGGGGAGUACGGCCGCAAGGUUAAAACUCAAAUGAAUUGACGGGGGCCCGCACAAGCGGUGGAGCAUGUGGUUUAAUUCGAUGCAACGCGAAGAACCUUACCUACCCUUGACAUCCAGAGGACUUUCCAGAGAUGGAUUGGUGCCUUCGGGAACUCUGAGACAGGUGCUGCAUGGCUGUCGUCAGCUCGUGUUGUGAAAUGUUGGGUUAAGUCCCGUAACGAGCGCAACCCCUAUCCUUAUUUGCCAGCGAGUAAUGUCGGGAACUCUAAGGAGACUGCCGGUGACAAACCGGAGGAA